rnacentral:rRNA from 1 species
CAGCCGCCACGGUAAUACGGAGGAUCCAAGCGUUAUCCGGAUUUAUUGGGUUUAAAGGGUGCGUAGACGGCCUGUUAAGUCAGGGGUGAAAGACGGUAGCUUAACUAUCGCAGUGCCCUUGAUACUGAUGGGCCUGAAUGUACUAGAGGUAGGCGGAAUGUGACAAGUAGCGGUGAAAUGCAUAGAUAUGUCACAGAACACCAAUUGCGAAGGCAGCUUACUAUGGUAUGAUUGACGCUGAGGCACGAAAGCGUGGGGAUCAAACAGGAUUAGAUACCCCCGUAGUCCCUGUCUCUUAUAC